AGGAGUGCUAUCUUUCAAGAGUUCAUCCUUCACAUGUUGGUAUGUCAAUAUACCUGUUUCAGAAACAUCUGAUAUGAAAGACAGCCUCCAAGAUCACCCACAUGAGCUAGAUAGGCAGGGGCGAAAACAAAGACCUGAACAAAUAGAGACAACACUAUAUGCUCUAGCUAAAGAACCAAUAGAAACUAUUUUGUUACAAGCUGGAAAUUUUCGUGACAGAAGUAAACAAUGUUCAAGACCGCUCGCUCAUGUCCUGUAAAGAUUGCUGAAAGAAGACAUCCUAACGGAAAUGUCUACAAAUUCCCGAAGUGGCCAUACAUAUUACAUAGAAGGAAAGCACAGGU